UACGUAGGUGGCAAGCGUUGUCCGGAUUUACUGGGCGUAAAGAGCGCGCAGGCGGUCGGAUUAGUCGCGUGUGAAAGCCCCCGGCUCAACUGGGGAGGGUCACGCGAUACUGUUCGACUCGAAGGCAGGAGAGGGAAGUGGAAUUCCCGGUGUAGUGGUGAAAUGCGUAGAUAUCGGGAGGAACACCAGUGGCGAAGGCGACUUCCUGGCCUGUUCUUGACGCUGAGACGCGAAAGCUAGGGUAGCAAACGGG
rnacentral:rRNA from 1 species